GGAAGGAGGCGUCUGAGCGUCUAAUAUGAUUAGGAAUAGAAAAGAAAACAGUAUUGUAGAUUGAAGAUAUUUUUAUCUUUCUUUCUUUAUUAUAAAUAAAAAAU
rnacentral:ribozyme from 1 species